AAUUCGAAUAUUUCCUGUUUUUUUAUAUAAGAUGUAAGAUUAAUUAGGUUUACUGACCAGGCAGAUAAUGAUGCAUGAGCUACUUAGGCGAUGGAUUACACAACAGAGGACCAAGAUGCAUUUUGUAUCGAUACACUGAUGACCCAAUCCCAAGUGAUGUCACAUCAACAGAGAAGAGGAACUACACCAGCAAGAGAGAGACAAACAAUCAAGCAACGGAGAGAGAGAGAGAGAGAGAGAGAGAGAGAGAGAGAGAGAGAGAGAGAGAGAGAGAGAGAGAGAGAGAGAGAGAGAGAGAGAGAUUGAGAGAGAACGUUAUAACAGUGAAGGGGUAUCGUUGGUGUUGCAAAAUGAAUAUAUUACUACCGUUCAUCUCCUCUGAUCUGUGAAAAAGCAAGACAAUUUCACCCUGAACUAUGAAAAACGUGCCCUAUUUUCGCCUUCAACCUUGAAAAACGUUUUUCAUUUUCACCUUGGUCCUUGAAAACGAACAUUAUUCCAACUCUGAAGACUGAUGACUCUGAAAUCAGAGUCCCAGGGCAUGAACUUCUAAACAUAAACUCACGUUCAUAUGAACAGGUGAAUCUCCUACAGAAGAUUAUUAUGUGAUAAAGAAUGAUUUUACUUUCUGGUGCAUGUGCUUCGUCGCAUUUCCUUUGCUCAUGAUUAUGGUUAUGAUAAAAUAUGUGACUUUGAAGUGCCAAAUGUAAAUAUCCUGACUUAAUGUGAUACGAAAAGUGUUAGUGAGAAAUUUUGUAAACGAACCUAGUGUAAAAUAAGCGCCUUGUCGUCCUCCUGUGAGUGUUGUAUUUAUAAACUGUGAUAUUUUCGAACUAUGUAUAGAUAUAUAUACACAUACAUACAUAAUAAGCCAAUAGUAAA